UACAGAGGGGGCAAGCGUUAUUCGGAAUUAUUGGGCGUAAAGGGCGCGUAGGCGGCCUGGCAAGUGGAAGGUGAAAUCCCUCGGCUUAACCGAGGAACUGCCUCCCAAACUGCUUGGCUUGAGACCGGGAGAGGUGAGUGGAAUUCCCAGUGUAGCGGUGAAAUGCGUAGAUAUUGGGUGGAACACCGGUGGCGAAAGCGGCUCUCUGGCCCGGAUCUGACGCUGAGGCGCGAAAGCGUGGGGAGCAAACAGG
rnacentral:rRNA from 1 species